GGGGACCUUCGGGGCCCUUGACACCAUAGGCCCAUGACCGGGCCGCAAAGCAACGGAAAGUCAGUAA
rnacentral:ncRNA from 1 species